rnacentral:rRNA from 1 species
GAUAAACGCUGGCGGCGCACAUAAGACAUGCAAGUUGAACGGACUUAAUCGAAAUAUUUAUAUUUUGAAGCGGUUAGUGGCGGACUGGUGAGUAACGCGUAAGGAACCUGCCUAUUAGAGGGGAAUAACAGUGAGAAAUCAUUGCUAAUACCGCAUAUGCCAUAGAUAUCACAUGAUAACAGUGGGAAAGGAGCAAUCCGCUAAUAGAUGGCCUUGCGUCUGAUUAGAUAGUUGGUGGGGUAACGGCCUACCAAGUCGACGAUCAGUAGCCGGACUGAGAGGUUGAACGGCCACAUUGGGACUGAGAUACGGCCCAGACUCCUACGGGAGGCAGCAGUCGGGUAUAUUGCGCAAUGGAGGAAACUCUGACGCAGUGACGCCGCGUAUAGGAAGAAGGUUUUCGGAUUGUAAACUAUUGUCGUUAGGGAAGAGAAAGGACAGUACCUAAGGAGGAAGCUCCGGCUAACUACGUG